rnacentral:rRNA from 1 species
GACGAACGCUGGCGGCGUGCCUAAUACAUGCAAGUCGAGCGCAGGAAACUGACGGAACUCUUCGGAGGGAAGGCAGUGGAAUGAGCGGCGGACGGGUGAGUAACACGUAAGGAACCUGCCUCAAGGAUUGGGAUAACUCCGAGAAAUCGGAGCUAAUACCGGAUAGUUCAACGGACCGCAUGGUCCGCUGAUGAAAGGCGCUUCGGCGUCACCUUGAGAUGGCCUUGCGGUGCAUUAGCUAGUUGGUGGGGUAACGGACCACCAAGGCGACGAUGCAUAGCCGACCUGAGAGGGUGAUCGGCCACGCUGGGACUGAGACACGGCCCAGACUCCUACGGGAGGCAGCAGUAGGGAAUCUUCCACAAUGGACGAAAGUCUGAUGGAGCAACGCCGCGUGAGUGAUGAAGGUUUUCGGAUCGUAAAACUCUGUUGUAAGUGAAGAACACGUACGAGAGGGAAUGCUCGUACCUUGACGGUACCUUACGAGAAAGCCACGGCUAACUACGUGCCAGCCGCCGCGGUAA